rnacentral:rRNA from 1 species
CCCUUAGAUGUCCUGGGCCGCACGCGCGUUACACUGAUGCAUUCAACGAGCUUAUAACCUUGGCCGAGAGGCCUGGGCAAUCUUGUUAACGUGCAUCGUGAUAGGGAUAGAUUAUUGAAAUUAUUAAUCUUGAACGAGGAAUUCCUAGUAAACGCAGAUCAUCAAUCUGCAUUGAUUACGUCCCUGCCCUUUGUACACACCGCCCGUCGCACCUACCGAUUGGAUGGUCCGGUGAAGCCUCGGGAUUGUGGUUCUUGCCGCUUUAUUGUAGCGUGACCGCGAGAACUUGUCUAAACCUUAUCAUCUAGAGGAAGGUGAAGUCGCAACA